rnacentral:rRNA from 1 species
UACGUAGGUGGCAAGCGUUGUCCGGAUUUACUGGGCGUAAAGAGCGCGCAGGCGGUCGUCCAAGUCGCGUGUGAAAGCCCCCGGCUCAACUGGGGAGGGUCACGCGAUACUGGUCGACUCGAAGGCAGGAGAGGGUAGUGGAAUUCCCGGUGUAGUGGUGAAAUGCGUAGAUAUCGGGAGAAACACCAGUGGCGAAGGCGACUACCUGGCCUGUUCUUGACGCUGAGGCGCGAAAGCUAGGGGAGCAAACGGG